AUUGAACGCUGGCGGCAGGCCUAACACAUGCAAGUCGAACGAGUGGCGGACGGGUGAGUAAUGUCUGGGAAACUGCCCGAUGGAGGGGGAUAACUACUGGAAACGGUAGCUAAUACCGCAUACCAUCGGAUGUGCCCAGAUGGGAUUAGCUAGUAGGGGGGGUAACGGCUCACCGAGGCGACGAUCCCUAGCUGGUCUGAGAGGAUGACCAGCCACACUGGAACUGAGACACGGUCCAGACUCCUACGGGAGGCAGCAGUGGGGAAUAUUGCACAAUGGGCGCAAGCCUGAUCCAGCCAGGCCGCGUGUGUGAAGAAGGCCUUCGGAUUGUAAAGUACUUUCGGCGAGGAAGCGUUACUCGAAGAAGAAGCACCGGCUAACUCCGUGCCAGCAGCCGCGGUAAUAC
rnacentral:rRNA from 1 species